AUACGGAGGGUGCAAGCGUUAAUCGGAAUUACUGGGCGUAAAGCGCGCGUAGGCGGCUUGGUAAGUCGGAUGUGAAAUCCCCGGGCUUAACCUGGGAAUUGCAUUCGAUACUGUCAGGCUAGAGUGUGGUAGAGGGAAGUGGAAUUUCCGGUGUAGCGGUGAAAUGCGUAGAUAUCGGAAGGAACACCAGUGGCGAAGGCGGCUUCCUGGACCAACACUGACGCUGAGGCGCGAAAGCGUGGGGAGCAAACAGGAUUAGAAACCCCAGUAGUCC
rnacentral:rRNA from 1 species